rnacentral:rRNA from 1 species
GACGAACGCUGGCGGCAUGCCUAAUACAUGCAAGUCGAGCGAACAGAUGAAGUGCUUGCACUUCUGACGUUAGCGGCGAACGGGUGAGUAACACGUAAGGAAUCUACCUAUAAGCGGGGGAUAACAUUCGGAAACGGGUGCUAAUACCGCAUAAUAUCUUCUUCCGCAUGGAAGAUGAUUGAAAGACGGCUCUGCUGUCACUUAUAGAUGACCUUGCGGUGCAUUAGUUAGUUGGUGGGGUAACGGCCUACCAAGACGAUGAUGCAUAGCCGACCUGAGAGGGUGAUCGGGCACAUUGGGACUGGGACACGGCCCAAACUCCUACGGGAGGCAGCAGUAGGGAAUCUUCCGCAAUGGGCGAAAGCCUGACGGAGCAAUGCCGCGUGAGUGAAGAAGGCCUUCGGGUCGUAAAACUCUGUUAUAAGAGAAGAACAAAUUGUAGAGUAACUGCUACAGUCUUGACGGUAUCUUAUCAGAAAGCCACGGCUAACUACGUGCCAGCCGCCGCGGUAA